AAUCAUCUCCCAUUGAAAGCUGAAUCAUGAGGAUACCAUCUCCAAGCAGGUGGAGUAUUUGAUCCCUUUAGCAAGGCAGUGAUUUUGAAAUUCGGGUUUAGACAAAAAGAUAUUUCAAGCUCCUGAAGAACAAGUUUGAAGGAUUCAGAGCAGAGAAUUGCACCCUGGCAUGAUGCCUAUGCCAGCUGGACUGUGUGAUUUUUGUUCUUUAGUAGAAGGAUAACAUGACAUAGCAGGAAUAAUACUGCCUUUUCUUUCUGGCAUGGAUCAAGAGAAAAGAAAAUACAAGAAAACAGACAGAAGCAAGGCAAGGUACUUCUAUGGAAGGGUGAGCCCUCACAGAUGGAGCAAUGGGGCGCGCACACCUGAACAAGGGAGGGGAAGGAGUUCUUAUCCCUGAUGCAUGUGACCCCUGCUGCUGUGUCCUUCCCCUAUUGGCUAAGGUUAGACCACACAGCCUAAACUAAUUCCGAUUGGCUAAUUCAAAGAGAGCGACGGGGGCUUCUGACAGCUUUGGAGAUUGUGACAUUGGAAUAAAGGAAAAACGUACAGGACUCAUGAAGCGCUGAAAUGUUCACAAAUAUCAAGCAAAAGUCAAUGAAAUUUAUUUUGAGCUAUUUACAUCAUUUAAUAAUUGAGCAAGGUAUACUCCUAUGAACAAAAUUUGGAGCAUGUUUGUCUCUCUCUGCCUGGCGUCUUCAGAAUUUGGAAACUAGUUAUGGUUUAUAAUCAGCUAUAGAAUUUUAACACGUGCUCUCAAAUGCAAGUUUCUGAUAACUUUGGAGAUUGUGACAUUGGAAUAAAGGAAGAGCUGGAAUGUUCAUGAAUAUCAAGCAAAAGUCAUGGAAAUUUAUUUUGAGCUAUUUACAGCAUUUAAUAAUUGAGCAAGGUAUACUCCUAUGAACAAAAUUUGGAGCAUGUUUGUCUCUCUCUGUCUGCCUGGCAUCUACAGAAUUUGGAAACUAGUUGUGCUGUACUGCAUGAGAAUGCCUGCAUUUAGUAUGCGAACUGGAAUUGGCAAAGGACGAUGGCUGCUCUCCCGCUAACUUUAAAUAAGUCAUGUCACAAAUUGCAUGUAAGACUUAUAAAAUAUUAACGUUGGGAGACACUGAAACAAAUCAGUAUUUCUAUUAACCUGCGAAAAGAUCUUCCAAAUAUAUAACCAAAGUAACUAAAACAAAUACUAAAAAGAGUUUACUUUUAAAACUAGGUUUAUGAAAUAUUUUCCCCAAGUUUGCAUGAUUAUUAGAAAAGUGGCUUAAAGAGUAAAGAAAAACUGGAAUCUUGUUGACCCCAAGUACUCCUCUAACCCUUUUGCUCUGCUGUUACAAUGGACCAGUAAAUCUUCAAACAUAACACCUCUUAAAUUAAAAACAGAAAUGGUGUAGAUUGCACACAUUACAACAUUUUUUUAGGCUUACUUCUUUUUUUCAAUAUUAAAGCUUAUUUUUCACACAUUACUUAAUGUUGCCUGUUAAAAAGUGGUGCUUAUAUUUGUGUAGCUAUCUGUUUGAUGGUGGUUUAGUUUAGGAAAUAAAUCACACAGUGACAA
ensembl:lncRNA LINC00320 long intergenic non-protein coding RNA 320